GACGAACGCUGGCGGCGUGCUUAACACAUGCAAGUCGAACGGAAAGGCCCUGCCUUUGUUGGGUGCUCGAGUGGCGAACGGGUGAGUAACACGUGAGUAACCUGCCCUUUACUUUGGGAUAACUUCAGGCAACUGGGGCUAAUACCGGAUAGGAGCUCCUGCUGCAUGGUGGGGGUUGGAAAGUUUCGGCGGUUGGGGUUGGACUCGCGGCUUAUCAGCUUGUUGGUGGGGUAGUGGCUUACCAAGGCGUUGACGGGUAGCCGGCCUGAGAGGGUGACCGGCCACAUUGGGACUGAGAUACGGCCCAGACUGCUACGGGAGGCAGCAGUGGGGAAUAUUGCACGAUGGGCGGAAGCCUGAUGCAGCAACGCCGCGUGCGGGAGGACGGCCUUCGGGUUGUAAACCGCUUUCGCCUGUGACGAAGCGUGAGUGACGGUAAUGGGUAAAGAAGCACCGGCUAACUACGUG
rnacentral:rRNA from 1 species